rnacentral:rRNA from 1 species
UACAGAGGGGGCAAGCGUUGUUCGGAAUUACUGGGCGUAAAGGGCGCGUAGGCGGCCUGCUAAGUCGAACGUAAAAUCCCCGAGCUCAACUCGGGAACUGCGUCCGAUACUGGCAGGCUUGAAUCCGGGAGAGGGAUGCGGAAUUCCAGGUGUAGCGGUGAAAUGCGUAGAUAUCUGGAGGAACACCGGUGGCGAAGGCGGCAUCCUGGACCGGCAUUGACGCUGAGGCGCGAAAGCCAGGGGAGCAAAGCGGG